rnacentral:rRNA from 1 species
GACGAACGCUGGCGGCGUGCUUAACACAUGCAAGUCGAGCGGUAAGGCCCUUUCGGGGGUACACGAGCGGCGAACGGGUGAGUAACACGUGGGUGACCUGCCCUCAGCUCUGGGAUAAGCCUGGGAAACUGGGUCUAAUACCGGAUAUGACUCCAUGACGCAUGUUGUGGGGUGGAAAGCCUUGUGCGGCUGAGGAUGGGCCCGCGGCCUAUCAGCUUGUUGGUGGGGGAUGGCCUACCAAGGCGACGACGGGUAGCCGGCCUGAGAGGGCGACCGGCCACACUGGGACUGAGACACGGCCCAGACUCCUACGGGAGGCAGCAGUGGGGAAUCUUGCGCAAUGGGCGAAAGCCUGACGCAGCGACGCCGCGUGAGGGAUGACGGCCU